UACGGGGGGUGCGAGCGUUGUCCGGAAUCACUGGGCGUAAAGGGCGCGUAGGUGGUCUGAUAAGGGUGUGGUGAAAGUCAAAGGCUCAACCUUUGAAAGCCGAUGGAUACUGCGGAGCUAGAGUACGGAAGAGGCGAGUGGAAUUCCUGGUGUAGCGGUGGAAUGCGCAGAUAUCAGGAGGAACACCAAUAGCGAAGGCAGCUCGCUGGGACGUUACUGACACUGAGGCGCGAAAGCGUGGGGAGCGAACAGG
rnacentral:rRNA from 1 species